rnacentral:lncRNA from 1 species
GGAGUUCAGAUGAUGAUCAAUUGCAUAGUUCAAAUGAAUGUUUGUGAUUAGAAAUGUUUUAGUCUUUCCGAUGAACUCACAAUAUUUUUUUAUAUUUUUUAAUUAAUAAUGAUUUAGUGGGAUAAUGACGACUUCAUGUGAUAAGGUCUCGUUCGUCGUAAUGGUGUGAACCUUGCCGACCAUCCUGUUAUAUCACCACCCAUAAACUGAAUCU